UACGGAGGGUGCAAGCGUUAUCCGGAUUCACUGGGUUUAAAGGGUGCGUAGGUGGGUCUGUAAGUCCGUGGUGAAAUCUCCGAGCUUAACUUGGAAACUGCCAUGGAUACUAUAGGUCUUGAAUACUGUGGAGGUUAGCGGAAUAUGUCAUGUAGCGGUGAAAUGCUUAGAUAUGACAUAGAACACCAAUUGCGAAGGCAGCUCACUACACAAUCAUUGACGCUGAGGCACGAAAGCGUGGGGAGCAAACAGG
rnacentral:rRNA from 1 species